rnacentral:rRNA from 1 species
AUUGAACGCUGGCGGCAGGCCUAACACAUGCGAGUCGAACGGUAACAGGAAGCAGCUUGCUGCUUCGCUGACGAGUGGCGGACGGGUGAGUAAUGUCUGGGAAACUGCCUGAUGGAGGGGGAUAACUACUGGAAACGGUAGCUAAUACCGCAUAACGUCGCAAGACCAAAGAGGGGGACCUUAGGGCCUCUUGCCAUCGGAUGUGCCCAGAUGGGAUUAGCUAGUAGGUGGGGUAACGGCUCACCUAGGCGACGAUCCCUAGCUGGUCUGAGAGGAUGACCAGCCACACUGGAACUGUGACACGGUCCAGACUCCUACGGGAGGCAGCAGUGGGGAAUAUUGCACAAUGGGCGCAAGCCUGAUGCAGCCAUGCCGCGUGUAUGAAGAAGGCCUUCGGGUUGUAAAGUACUUUCAGCGGGGAGGAAGGGAGUAAAGUUAAUACCUUUGCUCAUUGACGUUACCCGCAGAAGAAGCACCGGCUAACUCCGUG